rnacentral:rRNA from 1 species
GAUGAACGCUGGCGGCGUGCUUAACACAUGCAAGUCGAACGGAAAGGCCUGGUUUCUGUGGGGGGCUCGAGUGUCAAACGGGUGAGUAACACGUGAGUAGCCUGCCCUUGGCUGUGGGAUAACUUCAGUACACUGUGGCUAAUACCGCAUAGGAGCGCCUGCUGCCUGGGGGGGGUUGGCAAGUGUCGGCGGCUUGGGAUGGACUCUCGGCUUAUCAGCCUGUUGGUGGGGUAGUGGCUUACCAGGGAGUUGACGGGUAGCCGGCCUGUGAGGGUGACCGGCAACCUUGGGACUGAGGUAAGGCCCAGAAUCCUACGGGAGGCAGCAGUGGGGAAUAAUGCACAAUGGGGGGAAGCAUGCUGCAGCAACGACGCGUGCGGGAUGUAGGCGUUCGGGUGGUCAAGAGCUUUCGCUUGCGAAGAAGAGUGAGUGACGGUAAUGGGUAAAGAAGCACCGGCUAACUACGUG